rnacentral:rRNA from 1 species
GACGAACGCUGGCGGCGUGCUUAACACAUGCAAGUCGAACGGAAAGGCCCUGCUUUUGUGGGGUGCUCGAGUGGCGAACGGGUGAGUAACACGUGAGUAACCUGCCCUUGACUUUGGGAUAACUUCAGGAAACUGGGGCUAAUACCGGAUAGGAGCUCCUGCUGCAUGGUGGGGGUUGGAAAGUUUCGGCGGUUGGGGAUGGACUCGCGGCUUAUCAGCUUGUUGGUGGGGUAGUGGCUUACCAAGGCUUUGACGGGUAGCCGGCCUGAGAGGGUGACCGGCCACAUUGGGCCUGAGAUACGGCCCAGACUCCUACGGGAGGCAGCAGUGGGGAAUAUUGCACAAUGGGCGGAAGCCUGAUGCAGCAACGCCGCGUGCGGGAUGACGGCCUUCGGGUUGUAAACCGCUUUCGCCUGUGACGAGGCGUGAGUGACGGUAAUGGGUAAAGAAGCACCGGCUAACUACGUG